UACAGAGGUCCCAAGCGUUGUUCGGAUUCAUUGGGCGUAAAGGGUGCGUAGGCGGCGCGGUAAGUCGGGUGUGAAAACCCGCAGCUCAACUGUGGCUUGCAGCCGAUACGGGCGGGCUGGAGUUCGGUAGGGGAGACUGGAAUUCCUGGUGUAGCGGUGAAAUGCGCAGAUAUCAGGAGGAACACCGGUGGCGAAGGCGGGUCUCUGGGCCGAUACUGACGCUGAGGAGCGAAAGCGUGGGGAGCGAACAGG
rnacentral:rRNA from 1 species